GGCCAUUCUUUUAGUGCCCAUUUUUCCCCUUUCUCCAUUCCUUCAUGCAAAAGACCACUCUUUCUCUCCCAUUGAAUCAAGCCCGAAAUAAAGCCAAGUAAAAUCCCGAAAAGGGGAGUGAAGUAAUUUUUACAGUACAAAAAAGUCCCCCAGCGCCAAUAUCACCACUAUCUACAUGGUCAUCUUCGUCUCCACCACCGCUGUCAUCCUUCUCCUCCGUACCCUUCGAUACCAUCAUGGCCAACUCCCCGUUGCCAUUAGUCGCGGUAGCUAGCUCUGGAAUUCUUAAAGCUUAUCAUUAAUUCUCGUCCUCGUUGACUCCAUCAACCCUAGUCCCCACUUUCUCUCACUUUUCGUUGGUCUCUAAUGGCUCAGAUUAAAACUUCCUUGACCCAGAUGAGUGAUGGAAUUUUGUUUUAUAUUUUACCAAUUUCUUAUGUUUUAUUCUCUUUACUGUUCUUGACUAAAACUACUAACGUGGUUAACUGGAUUUCAUCUGGGAUUUGGGUAUUUUCUAUUUUUCAACAUGAUCUUGAACUUAAUAAAUUGGGUUUUGAUAAAGCUUCCAAAUGUGGUGUAAAAAAAUGUAGGAUUUAUAAUACUUGCUUUACCAAUAGUUGUUGUGAACACAAUAUUGCUCGAGAUGAUUAGGAACUCCGAACAAUUCAAUGGCGCCACGUGAGUGGGGUGUGGUGGUUCCAUUUUUGGCACUAGUGUAAGUUUGUUACGGUGAUUGGUAAAACGGUUUUGAUGAUAAUUAUAAAAUCCUAAGCCUGUUGAUACUUGUUUGAUUCUAAGUAUCACGUAUAAUGGUUUUCUAAAAUAUUAUGAAUCCUUGAAUCAUAGAUUUAACAAAAAAUUCUAUUUUAGUCACAAGUUAUAGGCAGCAUCAAUAAGGCUUUACAAGUUCUUAAUGUGAAAAAUUACAUUAUUUAUUUAGAUCUAUAUCUUAAUUUUCGAAAUGAAGAUUUGUUGUUGUGGUUUUUCAUGUCUCACUUAUCAGUUUGUGAUGAUUUUUUGUAGAAGAUGGUGGUGGCAAUAAUAAGACAGUGUAAGUUACAAUUUUAAAUAAAUUACACACACUUUAUCAGAAUUUAAUAUCAUCACUUACCCAAAAAAAAAGUGAUUAUUCUUGCUGGGCCUUUGUUUUUUUAAUACUCGCCCGAAGGGAUGCAUAUAGAAAAAUCUUGUGCGAUUUUGGGUCCCUUUUAUCAAAUUGAAUUUUCAUUGAAUUUUGGUGGAUAAAUUUAUAAAUAUGUGGCAAUUUUUGGUGCAGCAAAUUCCUGUGACUGCGAAAAAUCAAUUUUCUGUGAUAAGUUAUAAAGAAGAUGAACUGUAUCUAAGCAGAUCCAAAAAUGGAAAACAAGGACAAGGCAGUGAUUAAGAAUGUUGUGGAGGGUUUUUUUGCUUACGGAAUUUUAAUGCUGUCUAGUAGGUUAAGCCUUGAUGGUGUUUUACUUUUCAUCUUGAGAGUUGUCGUCUUUCAAUACGAAUCGUGUUCGAUCAUUUAUUUCUGGACUCUAAAGAUGAUCGUCACAUUACAAAAGGAUUAUGGAUGUUCGCUAUAUUUAUCAUUGGCUUAGGUGUUUAUGUUUUUCCACAUCAUGAUGCAAAGUUGGCUGUUAAAUUGUUACUCCUCUUGCUGCCACAUAAAUUCUGUCCUCCCAUAGCCCAAUGAGUAGAUAAUCUUUGCUACCAGUAGAAACAAUCUUAGAAAUUUAGUUGUUUUUCUUGAAAUUCAAUGCAACGAUAAGAAAUUGAUCUUUCUACUUAUAUUGAAGCUCUUGUCUUUAAAUAUAUAAUAAAUAAUUUGAAGCUAAAAAAAAUCACGUCCUCAGUAUCCUUCCCAUUAUUGUGAUGAGUUUUGCAUCGGUUAAUGUCGGGUUUUGUUUGGUUUUUUAUGAUUUGAUUUGGUUAAAUAUAAAUUAUCUCAUGGUAGGAUUCAGCUGCUUAAUUUGAUGGGAUGCCUAGGAUGAAUUGAUAGUUUUUUCUUUCGUUUCAUGUGCUACAAAUAUCAAAUAAAUAAAUUGAUACUUGGUGCAAAAAAAGAAUAUAGAGAGUUUUAAUUGCUGCCAUUUUUUAAAAUUUAGAUGGGAAUUCCUUAAAUUUUGUUCGUGUGCCAAUAGUUUACUGCUUCUCUUAAGAAAAAGUUAGGAUUAAAUUGUUGUAAGAAUUUGUUAACUUCCGAUUAGAAAUUAAUUUCUAUUUUGUUAAUGAGAUUGCUUCUCUAUUAUAAUUCAAUAUUAUGUUUAUUUCUCACACAUAUUACAUGCUUGUGGGGACAUUCCUUGAUAAGUCAUCCAUUUGUUAGGACUCAUAGGAGGAAGAGUGCUUUGAAUUAGUUGCUGCUUGUCUUCUUUUGGAUAGAGUAUGCCCACAUCUAAGGUAUGGAGUUGUAUAUAUUUUACUCAACUCUUAAAUUUCAUGUAUGAAUUUGGCAGUCUAGGAAAUAACAAUGUAGAAAUGCAUGGUGUAUGGUGAUAACAUUAGUUCGUGGACCAUGUAAUUUUCAAUUGCUUUUUUAAAUUUUCGUAUAGUACUUCACUACUUCUUUAAACACAUUUUCGAUUGAACUUGGUCAGAAUCUUUAAAUUUUCAGACAUUUUUUUUAACAGCAACUCACAUGUACAUUGGGAAACCGGGGAAUAAGAUUACAAAAAAUAAGUGAAACUCUAUAGGUUAAGGCUGAAAAAUAAUCUUCGAUCAUGGAACUCAACAUGUUAAAAGCCUAUAACGAUAAUGAAAGACAAUGCUCCCUUGUGAGUGCUUUAGCCCACUCGAAUGACCUGGAUAGUGGUUACUCCAAAGUCAUUAUCUAGAAAGGUUAAUUUCCCACAUGCCUAAUAUGUUUUAAAUUUAUUUUGCUUGGUCAAAUACUCUUAAGUUAUACUUCCCUUUAAAAUGGGUUUAAAGCACUAUUACUCAAUCAACUGAUAGCAAAGUUUCGUGUUAGUCAUGGAAGCUUAUUUUAUUCCAAAAUAAUUACUUAAGUUUGUUUUUAGUUUUUAGGAAAGUCACUUAUCUAAAAUACAUCACUUUUUCUCUGCAAUUUUUAUUUUCAUUUGAAUUUCUUUCUUAGUUAGAUUAACACUACCUAUGGGUGUUUUAUUGAAUUCUUCAUUGUCUCAUUUUGAUCAGAAACUAUAGAAGAGAUUUUGUGAGGUAGUCAUAACAGAAAUCAAACUUCGUGUAGAAGAUUGGAAGUAUGUUCUAUGAACAGAUUGUCC
rnacentral:lncRNA from 1 species